rnacentral:rRNA from 1 species
UUGGCCUACGGGAGGCAGCAGUGAGGAAUAUUGGUCAAUGGGCGGGAGCCUGAACCAGCCAAGUCGCGUGAGGGACGACGGUCCUAUGGAUUGUAAACCUCUUUUGUCGGGGAACAAAGGCGCCCACGGGUGGGCGGAUGAGUGUACCCGAAGAAAAAGCAUCGGCUAACUCCGUGCCAGCAGCCGCGGUAAUACGUAGGUGGCGAGCGUUAUCCGGAAUGAUUGGGCGUAAAGGGUGCGUAGGCGGCCUGCUAAGUCUGGAGUGAAAGGUACCGGCUCAACCGGUACAGGCUCUGGAAACUGGC